AGUCGAACGUGAAAGCACUUCGGUGUGAGUAGAGUGGCGGGCGGGUGAGUAACGCGUGGGAAUCUGCCCAGUAGUGGGGGACAACUACCGGAAACGGUAGCUAAUACCGCAUACGCCCUAUGGGGGAAAGGCUUCGGCCGCUAUUGGAUGAGCCCGCGUCAGAUUAGCUAGUUGGUAGGGUAAAGGCCUACCAAGGCAACGAUCUGUAGCUGGUCUGAGAGGACGAACAGCCACACUGGGACUGAGACACGGCCCAGACUCCUACGGGAGGCAGCAGUGGGGAAUAUUGGACAAUGGGCGAAAGCCUGAUCCAGCAAUGCCGCGUGUGUGAAGAAGGCCUGCGGGUUGUAAAGCACUUUCAGUUGGGAAGAUGAUGACGUUACCAACAGAAGAAGCACCGGCUAAAUCCGUGCCAGCAGCCGCGGUAAUACGGAUGGUGCGAGCGUUAAUCGGAAUUACUGGGCGUAAAGCGCGCGUAGGCGGCUAAGUCAGUCAGAAGUGAAAGCCCCGGGCUCAACCUGGGAAUUGCUUUUGAUACUGCUUGGCUAGAGUUUGGUAGAGGAUAGUGGAAUUCCAGGUGUAGCGGUGAAAUGCGUAGAUAUCUGGAGGAACAUCAGUGGCGAAGGCGACUGUCUGGACCAAAACUGACGCUGAGGUGCGAAAGCGUGGGUAGCAAACAGGAUUAGAUACCCUGGUAGAA
rnacentral:rRNA from 1 species